rnacentral:rRNA from 1 species
GACGAACGCUGGCGGCGUGCUUAACACAUGCAAGUCGAACGGAAAGGCCCUGCUUUUGUGGGGUGCUCGAGUGGCGAACGGGUGAGUAACACGUGAGUAACCUGCCCUUGACUUUGGGAUAACUUCAGGAAACUGGGGCUAAUACCGGAUAGGAGCUCCUGCUGCAUGGUGGGGGUUGGAAAGUUUCGGCGGUUGGGGAUGGACUCGCGGCUUAUCAGCUUGUUGGUGGGGUAGUGGCUUACCAAGGCUUUGACGGGUAGCCGGCCUGAGAGGGUGACCGGCCACAUUGGGACUGAGAUACGGCCCAGACUGCUACGGGAGGCAGCAGUGGGGAAUAUUGCCCAAUGGGCGGAAGCCUGAUGCAGCAACGCCGCGUGCGGGAUGACGGCCUUCGGGUUGUAAACCGCUUUCGCCUGUGACGAAGCGUGAGUGACGGUAAUGGGUAAAGAAGCACCGGCUAACUACGUG